rnacentral:rRNA from 1 species
AGUCGAGGGGUAGAUAGCAAUAUUUGAGACCGGCGCACGGGUGCGUAACGCGUAUGCAAUCUACCUUUUACAGAGGGAUAGCCCAGAGAAAUUUGGAUUAAUACCUCAUAGUAUAGUGAGUUGGCAUCAACACACUAUUAAAGUCACAACGGUAAAAGAUGAGCAUGCGUCCCAUUAGCUAGUUGGUAAGGUAACGGCUUACCAAGGCAACGAUGGGUAGGGGUCCUGAGAGGGAGAUCCCCCACACUGGUACUGAGACACGGACCAGACUCCUACGGGAGGCAGCAGUGAGGAAUAUUGGUCAAUGGGCGCAAGCCUGAACCAGCCAUGCCGCGUGCAGGAUGACGGUCCUAUGGAUUGUAAACUGCUUUUGCACAGGAAGAAACACUCGGUCGUGACCGAGCUUGACGGUACUGUGAGAAUAAGGAUCGGCUAACUCCGUGCCAGCAGCCGCGGUAAUACGGAGGAUCCAAGCGUUAUCCGGAAUCAUUGGGUUUAAAGGGUCCGUAGGCGGCCAGAUAAGUCAGUGGUGAAAGCCCAUCGCUCAACGAUGGAACGGCCAUUGAUACUGUUUGGCUUGAAUUAUUUGGAAGUAACUAGAAUAUGUAGUGUAGCGGUGAAAUGCUUAGAGAUUACAUGGGAAUACCAAUUGCGAAAGGCAGGUUACUACAAAUUGAUUGACGCUGAUGG